GGCUGGCCCGAUGGUAGUGGGUUAUUAGAACUUAUUAAAAUUAGUGCCACUAAAGUUGGUAUACAACCCCCCACUGCUAAAUUUGACUGGCUUUUU
ensembl:Y_RNA Y_RNA Y RNA